rnacentral:rRNA from 1 species
UACGUAGGGGGCAAGCGUUGUCCGGAUUUAUUGGGCGUAAAGAGCGUGUAGGCGGUUAGGUAGGUCCGUUGUGAAAACUCGAGGCUCAACCUCGAGACGCCGAUGGAAACCAUCUGACUAGAGUCCGGAAGAGGAGAGUGGAAUUCCUGGUGUAGCGGUGAAAUGCGCAGAUAUCAGGAAGAACACCCGUGGCUAAGGCGGCUCUCUAGUACGUGACUGACGCUGAGACGCGAAAAGCGUGGGGAGCGAACAGG